GCAGUCUGCAACUCGACUGCAUGAAGUCGGAAUCGCUAGUAAUCGCGGAUCAGCAUGCCGCGGUGAAUACGUUCCCGGGCCUUGUACACACCGCCCGUCACACCAUGGGAGUAGAUUGUACCAGAAGCGGCUAGCCUAACCUUCGGGAGGGCGGUUACCACGGUAUGGUUUAUGACUGGGUGAAGUCGUAACAAGGUAGCCGUAGGGGAACCUGCGACUGGAUCACCUCCUUUUAAAGAAAAGGGUCUAGACCCCACACACGCCACUCGGUAAGGAAUUGGGCCUAUAGCUCAGCUGGCUAGAGCACACGACUGAUAAUCGUGAGGUCAGUGGUUCGAGUCCACUUGGGCCCACCAAAUGGGGCUGUAGCUCAGUUGG
rnacentral:rRNA from 1 species